UACGUAGGGUGCGAGCGUUAAUCGGAAUUACUGGGCGUAAAGCGUGCGCAGGCGGUUCGCUGUGUCCUGUGUGAAAGCCCUGGGCUCAACCUAGGAAUUGCAUUCGAUACUGGCGGGCUAGAGUACGGUAGAGGGCGGCGGAAUUCCGGGUGUAGCGGUGAAAUGCGUAGAUAUCCGGAGGAACACCGAUGGCGAAGGCAACCGCCUGGGCCUGUACUGACGCUGAGACACGAAAGCGUGGGGAGCAACAGG
rnacentral:rRNA from 1 species